rnacentral:rRNA from 1 species
GGGGGGAAUAUUGCACAAUGGAGGAAACUCUGAUGCAGCGACGCCGCGUGAAUGAUGAAGGCCUUCGGGUUGUAAAGUUCUGUCCUUGGGGAAGAUAAUGACGGUACCCAAGGAGGAAGCCCCGGCUAACUACGUGCCAGCAGCCGCGGUAAUACGUAGGGGGCGAGCGUUGUCCGGAAUUAUUGGGCGUAAAGGGUUCGCAGGCGGUCUGAUAAGUCAGAUGUGAAAGGCGUAGGCUCAACCUACGUAAGCAUUUGAAACUGUCAGACUUGAGUUAAGGAGAGGAAAGUGGAAUUCCUAGUGUAGCGGUGAAAUGCGUAGAUAUUAGGAGGAAUACCAGUGGCGAAGGCGACUUUCUGGACUUAUACUGACGCUGAGGAACGAAAGCGUGGGGAGCAAACAGGAUUAGAUACCCUGGUAGUCCACGCCGUAGACGAUGAGUGCUAGGUGUUGGGGGUCAAACCUCGGUGCCGCAGCUAACGCAUUAAGCACUCCGCCUGGGGAGUACGUACGCAAGUAUGA